UAGUGAGGUGGACGACGGGUGAGUAACACGUGAGUAACCUGCCCUCUUCUUUGGGAUAACGCCCGGAAACGGGUGCUAAUACUGGAUAUUCACUGGCCUUCGCAUGGGGGUUGGUGGAAAGGUUUGUUCUGGUGGGGGAUGGGCUCGCGGCCUAUCAGCUUGUUGGUGGGGUGAUGGCCUACCAAGGCUUUGACGGGUAGCCGGCCUGAGAGGGUGACCGGUCACAUUGGGACUGAGAUACGGCCCAG
rnacentral:rRNA from 1 species